UACGGAGGGGACUAGCGUUGUUCGGAAUUACUGGGCGUAAAGAGCGUGUAGGCGGCCAGGUAGGUCCGCUGUGAAAACUCGAGGCUCAACCUCGAGAUGUCGGCGGAAACCAUCUGGCUAGAGUCCGGAAGAGGAGAGUGGAAUUCCUGGUGUAGCGGUGAAAUGCGCAGAUAUCAGGAAGAACACCCGUGGCGAAGGCGGCUCUCUGGGACGGUACUGACGCUGAGACGCGAAAGCGUGGGGAGCGAACAGG
rnacentral:rRNA from 1 species